rnacentral:rRNA from 1 species
AUGAACGCUGGCGGCAUGCCUAACACAUGCAAGUCGAUCGGUAAGGCUCUUCGGAGUACACGAGAGGCGGACGGCUGAGUAACGCGUAGGAACACACCCUGCAGUGAGGGAUAAGACACCGAAAGGUGUUCUAAUACCGCAUACGGUCUUCGGAUUAAAGCAUUUAUGCGCUGAAGGAGUGGCCUGCGUCAUAUUAGAUAGUUGGUGAGGUAAUGGCUCACCAAGUCGAUGAUGUGUAGCUGGUCUGAGAGGAUGAUCAGCCAGACUGGAACUGAGACACGGUCCAGACUCCUACGGGAAGCAGCAGUGAGGAAUAUUUCACAAUGAGCGAAAGCUUGAUGGAGCAAUGCCGCGUGCAGGAUGAAGGCCCUCGGGUUGUAAACUGCUUUUAUAAGAGAAGAUUAUGACGGUAACUUAUGAAUAAGGGACGGCUAACUACGUG